GACGAACGCUGGCGGCGUGCUUAACACAUGCAAGUCGAACGAACUCGACCUUCGGGUCAUAUGAGUGAGUGGCGAACGGGUGAGUAACACGUGAGAAAUCUGCCCCAAAGUUUGGGAUAACCCGAAGAAAUUCGAGCUAAUACCAAAUGCCCUCCUCGGAUCGAAUGGUCUGAUGAGGAAAGAUUUAUCGCUUUGGGAGGGGCUCGCGGCCUAUCAGCUAGUUGGUGAGGUAACGGCUCACCAAGGCAUCGACGGGUAGCUGGUCUGAGAGGACGAUCAGCCACACUGGGACUGAGACACGGCCCAGACUCCUACGGGAGGCAGCAGUGGGGAAUCUUGCACAAUGGGCGAAAGCCUGAUGCAGCGACGCCGCGUGGGGGAUGAAGGCCCUAGGGUCGUAAACCCCUUUCAGUAGGGACGAAAAUGACGGUACCUACAGAAGAAGCUCCGGCCAACUACGUGCCAGCAGCCGCGGUAAGACGUAGGGGGCGAGCGUUGUCCGGAAUCAUUGGGCGUAAAGAGCUCGUAGGCGGUUCCGUAAGUCGGAUGUGAAAACUCAGGGCUCAACUCUGAGACGCCAUCCGAUACUGCGG
rnacentral:rRNA from 1 species